rnacentral:rRNA from 1 species
GACGAACGCUGGCGGCGUGCUUAACACAUGCAAGUCGAACGGAAAGGCCCUGCUUUUGUGGGGUGCUCGAGUGGCGAACGGGUGAGUAACACGUGAGUAACCUGCCCUUGACUUUGGGAUAACUUCAGGAAACUGGGUCUAAUACCGGAUAGGAGCUCCUGCUGCAUGGUGGGGGUUGGAAAGUUUCGGCGGUUGGGGAUGGACUCGCAGCUUAUCAGCUUGUUGGUGGGGUAGUGGCUUACCAAGGCUUUGACGGGUAGCCGGCCUGAGAGGGUGACCGGCCACAUUGGGACUGAGAUACGGCCCAGACUCCUACGGGAGGCAGCAGUGGGGAAUAUUGCACAAUGGGCGGAAGCCUGAUGCAGCAACGCCGCGUGCGGGAUGACGGCCUUCGGGUUGUAAACCGCUUUCGCCUGUGACGAAGCGUGAGUGACGGUAAUGGGUAAAGAAGCACCGGCUAACUACGUG